rnacentral:rRNA from 1 species
UACGAAGGGGGCUAGCGUUGUUCGGAAUUACUGGGCGUAAAGCGUACGUAGGCGGACAUUUAAGUCAGGGGUGAAAUCCCAGAGCUCAACUCUGGAACUGCCUUUGAUACUGGGUGUCUAGAGUAUGGAAGAGGUGAGUGGAAUUCCGAGUGUAGAGGUGAAAUUCGUAGAUAUUCGGAGGAACACCAGUGGCGAAGGCGGCUCACUGGUCCAUUACUGACGCUGAGGUGCGAAAGCGUGGGGAGCAAACAGG